UCCUACGGGAGGCAGCAGUGGGGAAUUUUGGACAAUGGGCGAAAGCCUGAUCCAGCAAUGCCGCGUGCAGGAUGAAGGCCCUCGGGUUGUAAACUGCUUUUGUACGGAACGAAAAGCUCUGGGCUAAUUCCCGGAGUCAUGACGGUACCGCAAGAAUA
rnacentral:rRNA from 1 species